GGAGGGGGGAUGGGCUACAUGGAUAAGGGACAUUGAGCAAUCUACUCCUGAACUCAUUGUUGCACUAUAUGCUAACUAACUUGGAUGCAAAAUAAAAAAUUGUUUAAUGUCUGGGGCGCCUGGGUGGCUCAGUCGGUUG